rnacentral:lncRNA from 1 species
CUGAGGCAAUAUAGAUCAAUUCAACUAACAGGUACUCAAGUUAAUAAAAAAACAUAUCAAUGCAAGUUCUGAAUUUUACCUACCUUGUAUCCUCUUUUUGGGAGGAAAAAAUGGCCUACCACUGUACCACACAUGCUCAUUCUAUCAAAUGUUAAUGUUCCAGCUAGGGAAACAAGCAAGCGUCUUCCUUCCUUUCUCACCCUAUUCAACAAAGAGGAACUGCUUCUGUAAUAUCAUACACACUUGUCCAGGUGACAGUCAUCUACAAUGAUACUAAUUCAUUCACAUUCCCAAACCUAUAAGGCCUCGUUUAGAUGUAGUCGGAUUCGCAUUAAUCCACAUGUAUUGGUGUGGGUUGAAAUGGAACUUGAACUAAAUUCCACCCCAAUCCACUCCAACACAUGUGGAUUGAGGUAAAUCCGACAACAUCCAAACAAGACCUAAAUACAUAUGCUAGUAUUUUCUUUCUCUCAAAACCUAUAAGUAUGGAUGCUAAUAUUUUCUCUCUCAAACCUAUAAAUACAGUUUUUCCAAAAAAAAAACCUAUAAAUACAUAUGCUAGUAUCUUCUUUCUCUUAUCGUCAUCACCCAGAGAAUUAAUAGAUAUGUAACAUUAUGUCAUCACUUUCUAUAGUCAUUUGAUGUUUUUUCACGGACAUAUUUGUUAGUAAUAACGUCUUGUUUAGUUGCCAAAAAAUUUUGCAAAAUUUUUCAGAUUCUCCGUCACAUCGAAUCUUUAGACGUAUGCAUGAAGUAUUAAAUAUAGACAAAAAUAAAAACUAAUUACACAGUUUGGUCAGAACUGACGAGACGAAUCUUUUGAGACUAGUUAGUACAUGAUUGGACAAUAUUUAUCAAAUACAAACGAAAUUGGUACUAUUCAUACUAGUAUAUUGCCCGUGCUAACGCUACGGUGACUUUUAGAAAAAAAUUAUAAAACUAAAAUAAAUUAUAAAACUAAAAAAUAAACUUACCACACUAACAAAAAAGUCUAUACGAAAAUUACGUUACUUCAUUUAGGAACAUAUAUUUGGUUUUAACAAAUGCUAUGUAGAAAAGUUGAGAAAUACAGCUGAUCUACAAAUGCCCAUCAUUUGUCUUGUAAUCUUGGUAAGAAAUCCAUAAAAAUGAGAUACUUGAUUAUAGUUACUGUAGGCGUAUACCUGCGUUACUGAACAAAUAAGCUAGAAAAAAAUAAAAUUAUAGAGAUCGAUUAAAGGAAUAAUAAAAUAAAAAAUGCCUGACAAAAUCAGGUACCUAUCUUCAGUCUAUCAUACAAUGCCAAGAAGACAAGCAAACAUUAAAUUAUACGCUAAAGAGAAAUUAAAAUACUCCUAUUCAGAAGUUUCAGAUGGUCUAGAUCAUUGUACAAAACUGCUCCAGAUAGAAGAAUAUAUAGAUAGAAUUUAUUUAUUCUCCCAUCACGAAUUAAGGGUGCAUAUAAAGUUGGCAUUCUAGUGUGUAACAUUAUAUUCUCUCCAUUUUUAGCCGGUGCUCACGCUAGUAGAACUAUCUGCCAAGUUCAUCAAAGUUCUAAGAAAUUUUCAGUGUUGAAUACUGGACCAGGAGCAAAACCACAAGUUAAGGCCUGAAUAUUGAAGACUAAAUUAGCACCAACUUUUGUAAUUAAGGAACAAACCAUAUCAAAACUUAGCAAUCACCAGAUAGAAUAUUUUACUACAAGCAAUUUGUAUAAUUGUAUUGCACAAAUACUCAAACUGAGACCAUUCCAACUGACAAUCUGGUGAAUUAUACUAAAAAAAGUUAAUGAGCCUCAUCUAUUCUCAUAUCAAACUGGUUCUACUAUUCAAGUGAAAUAACAUACUACAUGAACAAUCUCAUACAAAUACUAAAGCCAUUGACAGGAUAUUACUUCUUUACUAAUCUGAAGCAGGAACUAUGGAAGAUAAAAUAGAUGAAACAAUCAAAUGCAACAUGAAAAAAAAUCAAGAAUCUUCUCAAGUUGACAUGAGAUUCGCUUGCUAUGCCACCAUGGUCAAGAAAGCAGCAGCCACCUCCUUUACUACUAUGAUAUGCAGAUUUGUUUGGCAAUCAUUAGUUUUAGCAAGUCGCUAUUUUAUUUGGCAAGUCAAAAAAAAAUCUCCCUCUAACAAUUUAUAGUAUUCUAACUUGCUAAAAUCACCAUAAGCGUGUUUUUUUGACUACUUGUAAAGUGAACACAAAACUUUCUCAUAAUUAAUCAAACCAUCAGAAAAUUCUUCUCUCUAGCAGUUUUACAAAGUAAACACGGUAAAAAGUUUCUAUUUGCAUAGAUGUCUUUCUCUCCGU